GACGAACGCUGGCGGCGUGCCUAAUACAUGCAAGUCGAACGGCAGCACGGGCUUCGGUCUGGUGGCGAGUGGCGAACGGGUGAGUAAAGCAUCGGAACGUACCCGGAAGUGGGGGAUAACGUAGCGAAAGUUACGCUAAUACCGCAUAUUCUGUGAGCAGGAAAGAGGGGGAUCUUCGGAACUCUUGCUUUCGGAGCGGCCGGUGUCAGAUUAGCUAGUUGGUGGGGUAAAGGCCUACCAAGGCGACGAUCUGUAGCGGGUCUGAGAGGAUGAUCCGCCACACUGGGACUGAGACACGGCCCAGACUCCUACGGGAGGCAGCAGUGGGGAAUUUUGGACAAUGGGCGCAAGCCUGAUCCAGCCAUGCCGCGUGCGGGAAGAAGGCCUUCGGGUUGUAAACCGCUUUUGUCAGGGAAGAAAAGGCUCCUGUUAAUACCGGGGGCUCAUGACGGUAUCUGAAGAAUAAGCACCGGCUAACUACGUGCCAGCCGCCGCCGUAA
rnacentral:rRNA from 1 species